rnacentral:lncRNA from 1 species
GCCAGACCAGGGCAGAGGCAUUGUGGGAAGGGCCCCUGCCAGGCCCAACAGGCACAAGAAGCAGGAGGCAAGAGGGCAACUUUAGCUGCCACCAAAGUGCCCAAGAAUGGGUUUUGGGCCCCUCAGCAACUCCAUCCUCUGCCCAUUCCACUGUAAAUAUCCUGAACAGUGUUUGUCUCUGGACAUCGUAUAGGGCAUAGGGAACCAACCAUCUGGGUUUGCCCUGGACGCUCCUGGUUUUAGCACUGAAAAUCCCAUGUCCCAUGAAACUCCUCGGUCCUGUGCAAGCAGGAAGGGUUGUUGGCAAUCUCCUACCAUCCUCCAGUUGUGACUCCCAUUUGAAGAUGCAGAAACUGAGGCCCAGGAAAGGCAAGUCCCUUGCCCAGGGUCACGGAGCUGGAAGGAGAUCCUGACCCCCAUCAAACCCACUGCCCUGCAUUCCAGACCCACAAGGCCCCACAGGCUGGCUGGAUCUUCCAGAGGCAAGUGAUGGCACUGCACAGAAAACAGCAAAUAGAGACCCAGUCCUGCUCUCAUACAGCUUAUGGCCCACCAGAGGAGAGAAACAUCAAAAACCCAACAUGGCAUGACGAGCGGUGUGCCGGUCCACACCCAGGAUCCAAACCUGUGAACCCCAGGCCGCCAAAGCAGAGUGUGCAAACUUAGCCACUACGCCACUGGGCCGGCACCCCCAAGUAAUUCUUAAAGUAAGUAUUUGUUAUGGGCUGAAUGGUGUCCUGCCCAUCCCCACCCUAAAAUUCCUAUGUUGAAGUCCUCACCCCCAGUACCUCAGAAUACGACCGUAUUUGGAGGUAAAUUCUCUUUAAAGAGGUGAUUAAGGUAAAACGAGGUCAUAGGGUGGGCCCUAAUUCAAUAUGACUGGUGU